AGUUAUGGUAUGAAAUAACGACGCCGGCUAGGUGCAAUUAUACCAGAGUUGUUGACCAAAUCUACAAGAAUCAACAUAAGUAACCCAUAAGAAACAUUAGAAAUGAUUAAAUUAAAAAUCCUACAUUAAAAUAAAACAAAAUUUAAGUUGUAUGCUGAAAAUAUCUCAUCCAACCAGCCUUGGUCAUGCCAAUACCAUUGUCAACAAUGGUUAGAGUGUUAUGUCUUGUCAAGAAUGAUGUGGAAUCAGAUAAACAAUUCUGGUUGCCCAUCGAGCUUGCUCUUGUCCGUUAAACUCUCAAAACAUAUUUUUUUCCAAGGUUUACAGAGAUUCACACAAUUUUUGUAGAUAAUAACUAUAUAACAAAAACACAACUAAAAUUCCAACAGAUAAAGCACUUAGGAUCAAAGGGAAACAAGGGUCAAANNNNNAUAAUGCUUCUUCAAAAACAAACACAACAACAAUAAAACAAAAUAGACUUAGUAAAAUUCACACUAACCAUCUUGUUUUGUGGAACUUUAAAGUUAAUUCAACCAUUUUGGCCUGCAUACAGAUAAACCCUGUUCCUAAAAAAACCAUUAAAAAUUAAUUAAAAAAAUCCCACAAGAGUUUAAUCUUAAAAAUUAAAUUACAUAGAGAAAUUGAAAUUACUUUGAGCACCUGCAAAGCAACACGAAUUUCCCCAAAGCUAGCCUUUCCAGGUAUGUUGAUUCUUUGCCUUUCGCGUAACAACCUAAAACAUAUACGAUAAAAGAAGGGCGUGAGGGAAACAGAGGUAUUCAUAGCAAGAAUUUAGGGUUCAACGGUGGGUUUUUUCUGGAGGUAUUGAGUCGAAACAAAGGAACUAAGGAUUUAGGGUUCAAUGGAGAUUGAGGUGCUGGGUUGAAACGAGAUGGAGUUCAACGGAAAGAAGAUGGAGGUCCAUCGUGAAAUCUGAAGAUGUAUUUAAUUUAUUUUUGUUUUAUUUUAUUCUUUCCUAUUUCUAACAAAAAA
rnacentral:lncRNA from 1 species